CUAGGGUAUGGAGAUAAAGUACCAGUCACUGGACUAGGAAAAUUGAUUGGGGUUACGUGUGCACUAUGUGGUGUUGUUAUUAUAGCACUGCCAAUAUCUGUUGUGGGAAAUAAU